rnacentral:tRNA from 2 species
GCGGAUGUAGCUCAGUUGGCUAGAGCGUCUGCUUGCCAUGCAGAAGGUCGCGGGUUCGAGUCCCGCCAUCCGCU